GCCUGGUACGCCUGUUAUUUUGACUCAUACCUUAUAUAUUUGUACAGGUGAGCAAAGUUUCAGGUGUGUUAGUCU
rfam:Crassostrea gigas strain 05x7-T-G4-1.051#20 contig616, whole genome shotgun sequence.